GACGAACGCUGGCGGCGUGCCUAAUACAUGCAAGUCGAACGCUGAAGAGAGGAGCUUGCUCUUCUUGGAUGAGUUGCGAACGGGUGAGUAACGCGUAGGUAACCUGCCUGGUAGCGGGGGAUAACUAUUGGAAACGAUAGCUAAUACCGCAUAAAAUGGAUUAUCGCAUGAUAAUCCAUUGAAAGGUGCAAAUGCAUCACUACCAGAUGGACCUGCGUUGUAUUAGCUAGUUGGUGGGGUAACGGCCGACCAAGGCGACCAGACCAAGCCGGCCUUGAGGGGUGAUCGGCCAAACUGGGACCGGGGAACGGCCCCAACUGCUACGGGAGGCAGCAGUAGGGAAUUUUCGGCAAUGGAGGGAAGGCUGACCGGGCAACGCCGCGGGAGUGAAGAAGGUUUUCGGAUCGUAAAGCUCUGUUGUAAGAGAAGGACGAUUGUGAGAGUGAAAAGUUCACACUGUGACGGUAUCUUACCAGAAAGCGACGGCUAACUACGUG
rnacentral:rRNA from 1 species